UACUGAGACUAAGGUAGAAAAAGACACUUCCAAAGGGUGUCAAUGACAAGAGAGAAAUAGACAUAGAGUGGUCACUUCAUUUACCAACCCUGGAACCGCAGACCUCUGGGCUUCCUGGCCCAUUUCUGCCUCGGUUGCCUGCCUCCAACCACAAUCCAGUUUUUUGGCUCCCAGAGACAGACAUGCCCAGAUCUGAACACCACCCACCUGGG
rnacentral:lncRNA from 1 species